AUGUUCCUGAAAUGUUCGCCAGUUUUCUAUUUUUACCCACAUUUCAUUAAACGGAACCUGGGCCAGAUGACCAGAUGUCAUGCCCCCGUGCUCAGCACGCCAGGGGACGGCAGAAAGUUUUCGCCGGGCACCGGCCUGCUUAACAUAGCGGGUGAAAAAAUAGAGGGCAGCGGCAUUUCGGGGCAUCU
rnacentral:other from 1 species